rnacentral:rRNA from 1 species
GACGAACGCUGGCGGCGUGCUUAACACAUGCAAGUCGAACGGAAAGGCCCCUUUGGGGGUACUCGAGUGGCGAACGGGUGAGUAACACGUGAGUAACCUGCCCUUGACUUCGGGAUAACUUCAGGAAACUGGGGCUAAUACCGGAUAGGAAUCCUUGCUGCAUGGUGGGGGUUGGAAAGCUUCGGCGGUUUUGGAUGGACUCGCGGCUUAUCAGCUUGUUGGUGGGGUAGUGGCUUACCAAGGCUUUGACGGGUAGCCGGCCUGAGAGGGCGACCGGCCACAUUGGGUCUGAGAUACGGCCCAGACUCCUACGGGAGGCAGCAGUGGGGAAUAUUGCACAAUGGGCGGAAGCCUGAUGCAGCAACGCCCCGUGCGGGAUGACGGCCUUCGGGUUGUAAACCGCUUUCAGCAGGGGCGAAGCUUGUGGUGACGGUACCUGCAGAAGAAGCACCGGCUAACUACGUG